CAUCCACCCACUAAGACGUACAGGUACGCUCUGAAUGGAAACCAAAGCAAACAACAGCCGUCAAGUUCACACUGGCUGCCCAGCCGCUGGCUUUGACUCACAUUGAAUGUAGUGUGAUGGAAACUAGCAUGAACCACUGGAGCCAAGACCGUCAGCUGAGACCACUUGCAUUGCUAUUCACUCUGCGCAGCUUCCCCACGCAGACGGAUCUGGCAACAAUGGCAGUGAGAACAUGGCGGCAUUUCUAAACAUCCCUUCUUACAGAUACAAGAAGAAGGAGAUCAGAUUAAUACUUUAAUGAUCCCACGCUGGGAAAAUUCCAUUGAUGUAACUGUAUGAGGAAUACACUUCACUUGCUGUUUUUGGCUGGGAAUAACACAUUUACAGAGGCAACUUAAGAAGGAGUUAACAUGUCAGACGGGAGUAUUUGAGGCUGACUAUGAGAACAUGGUUAAGGCGCUGCGCCACAGGCUGUUGGCCGCUGAUGAAGGUGUUUGCACUUCCUGAUGUAAAGUUUGAUGUCUGGCGGUUUCUCCUGGCUUAAUGAUCGGACAAUCUUUUUUUUAAACCUUUUUCUCAUUGAAAGCCUCACAGUCUCGAAUUCCACAGUGUGUGAAUUGGCUGAGGUGCCUGUAACUAAAGGUAAAGGAUGCUACCUUUACUUCAAUAUUUUGAAUAAAAUUGU
ensembl:lncRNA